UUUGGAAAAAAUUGUAUGACUCUAUAACUUUAAGACCAUGAGGCCAAACUUGGCAUAAGAUACAUUUUUGGAAAGGCCAAAGAGAGCCCUCCGACAAAAGAAGCAGGACAAUGGGUCGAAGUAUCAUUGUUUUUUUUUA
rnacentral:sRNA from 1 species